GACGAACGCUGGCGGCGUGCUUAACACAUGCGAGUCGAACGGAAAGGCCUUUUCGGAGGUACUCGAGUGGCGAACGGGUGAGUAACACGUGGGUGAUCUGCCCUGCACUCUGGGAUAAGCCUGGGAAACUGGGUCUAAUACCGGAUAGGACCGCACUUUAGUGUGUGUGGUGGAAAGUUUUUUCGGUGUAGGAUGAGCCCGCGGCCUAUCAGCUUGUUGGUGGGGUAAUGGCCUACCAAGGCGGCGACGGGUAGCCGGACUGAGAGGUUGGUCGGCCACAUUGGGACUGAGAUACGGCCCAGACUCCGACGGGAGGCAGCAGUGGGGAAUAUUGCACAAUGGGCGCAAGCCUGAUGCAGCGACGCCGCGUGGGGGAUGACGGCCUUCGGGUUGUAAACUCCUUUCGCCAGGGACGAAGCGUUUUGUGACGGUACCUGGAGAAGAAGCACCGGCUAACUACGUG
rnacentral:rRNA from 1 species